AUAGCUCUUUAAAUGGUACUGC
rnacentral:miRNA from 7 species